CUAAGGUUUCCAGGGGAAGGCUCGUCCGCCCUGGGUUAGUCGGGACCUAAGGAGAGACCGAAAGGUGUAUCCGAUGG
rnacentral:ncRNA from 1 species